CCUUCGAUAGCUCAGUUGGUAGAGCGGUGGACUGUAGAGGACGGUUCUUGUAGACAUCCAUAGGUCGCUGGUUCAAAUCCGGCUCGAAGGA
rfam:Tribolium castaneum strain Georgia GA2 linkage group LG9, whole genome shotgun sequence.